GACGAACGCUGGCGGCGUGCUUAACACAUGCAAGUCGAACGGUAAGGCCCUUCGGGGUACACGAGUGGCGAACGUGUGAGUAACACGUGGGUGAUCUGCACUACACUUCGGGAUAAGCCUGGGAAACUGGGUCUAAUACCGGAUAGGACCCUGGGAUGCAUGUCCUGGGGUGGAAAGCUUUUGGGGUGUGUGAUGGGCCGGCGGCCUAUCAGCUUGUUGGUGGGGUGAUGGCCUACCAAGGCGACGACGGGUAGCCGGCCUGAGAGGGGGAACGGCCACACUGGGAUUGAGAUACGGCCCAGACUCCUACGGGAGGCAGCGGUGGGGAAGAUUGCACAAUGGGCGCAAGCCUGAUGCAGCGACGCCGCGUGAGGGAUGACGGCCUUCGGGUUGUAAACCUCUUUCAGCACAGACGAAGCGCAAGUGACGGUAGGUGCAGAAGAAGGACCGGCCAACUACGUGCCAGCCGCCGCCGUAA
rnacentral:rRNA from 1 species